GGCUGAGGAUGGGCUGAAUGGUGGCCCUCCAGAAGCUAGGUCCACAUCCUAAUCCCCAGAAUCUUGUGAACGUGACCUUAUUUGGGAAAAGAAUGUUUGAUAAAAUUAAGUGAAAAUUCUGGAGAUGAGAUCCUCUUGGAUUACUUAGGGAAGCCCCACCUCCAAUGACAAGUGUCCUUAUAAGAGGCACCCCAAGGAGAAGGCCAUGUGAUCACAGAGGCGGAGAUGGGAGGGACACAGCCACAAGCCAGGGACCGCCUGGAGCCACCAGAAGCUGGAAGAGACAAGGAAGGAUCCUCACCUGGAGCCUUGGAGGGAGCAUGGCCCUGCUGACACGUGCAUUUCAGACAUCUGGCCUCCAGACACUGAGAGACUACAUUUCUAUCGUUUUAAGCCACCCAGUUUGUGGUCAUUUGUUACCGAAGCCCUAGGAAACCAAAACAGCGGAGAAAUUUGAAAACAUACUCAAAAGUAGUAGGAACAGUAUAAUAAACUCCCAGUGUACCCACCUUUGAGUUCCCACAGUGAUCAAGUCCUGCGGUUCUCUGCCUUCUUGAUGAUGAAGGUAUUACCAAAGCUAACUUGUGUCCUGGCAUGAUUCAGUUAUCUGGAACAUUCAUCUCCAGGCGUUGCUAGGUGUCUUUCUGGGUGAGUAGGGCUCGCCCCCCACCCGCAACUCCAAGGGCGAGGCUCCGCGCCCCUCCCUCAGUGACACGUGCUGUCCAGAUGUGGAGGGGCGGGGCGCUGGGGCUGCGGGCCCCAGGG